rnacentral:lncRNA from 1 species
ACCAACUGAACAAUUUUGGAUAGGAGAUUCUACCGGUGACGACGAACAGAACCGACGACCGGAAACCAACUCAAACUAGCACUGAGCUUCGAACAGAUAGCGACGACCUCGAUGGCUCGGUGACUGGAAACCUCUCACGUUUUGUCACUAUUUCUGCUAUAUUUCUGGCCAGUCAUGGUAGCAACAGAUGUGAGAGCGUGGAACGGUAAUUGUGUGUGCGCGCGCUUACCGGUUUAAAUGGCAGGUCAUCGGAGUUACGAGAUGAGGAAGAAGUAGAUGUUGGUCUGUUCAAGUUCGGCUGUCCUCUCUAUUUUUCCUAGGGUUCGCUACUUGUUUCCAUGAAGAAGAAGAUGGUCUAUGCUUCUCUUUCAAACAGAAUA